GCCGGCUCUGUUUGUCCCUCACAGGGGGGACCUGGGCCCUGUCCCAAAGCCUCUCUGCCCCAGACUCGAUCUCGCUGACCGCACCCUCUACCACAAUCCUUGGAGACAGCUGCUACUGUCAUGGGGCAGAUGGAAAACAGGCCACGAUGGGUCCCCAUCCUGUGUGCUCGCUCGCUCAUCACCUCCCACAAGCUCUGACGGCAAAGAGCAGAGGCCAGUGGAAGGAGGCCCCUUGCCCGUGGCCUCCCUGAGGAGCCGUGCACCGCCCUCACCUCUGGGCAGCUACCGCCGUUCUCCGUCGGCCCACGUCCCACCCCAUCCUUUGGAGGCACAGCUGCGCAGGAGCUGGGCUUCAGUGCCCUCAUCCACAGAGAACACAUGCUCCCAAAUGCUAAGAUCCCAUGGGGACGGAGACUCAGACAGACCCCAACUUCAUUCCUGCAACCAGCCCACUUCGCUGAGACAAAGUACAUCACUUCUCUGAGCCUGUUUCCACAUCUGCAUGGGUGGGACUGUUCUUGCGGAAACAGCAUGUGUUCCUCGAGGGAAGACAGACCUCUAAACUCCACCAUGACAAAAUGCUGCCCAGAACCGUGCAAGUCAUCAAGAGUUAUCAAAAGAGGUGUCACAAGGCAGGGGACAGACACUGGACAGAAGUCACGGUGUGAUCACUUCUCCACUUAACUAUUAAAGGUGCGCCAAAGACCAAGCGCAGACUCCCUA